CCUUUUAGGGAGACCGAAUCCACUCAAACGUCGAAAGCAAAUUGCAAUUAGAUAAUGAGUUGGUCAUUCCUAGGUCGGUCGCGAAUAUUUGUUGAAGCUCUCAAACUAUAGAUUUGGUUCGGAUAAUGGGCUAUUAGCUCAGGUGGUUAGAGCGCACCCCUGAUAAGGGUGAGGUCCCUGGUUCGAGUCCAGGAUGGCCCACCUGAAAUCAGUUAACAGUCAACAGUCAACAGUAGUCAGUCAAAAAACUGAUAACUGGUAACUGAUACCUGAUAACUGACUGAUGGGGGUUUAGCUCAGUUGGUAGAGCGCCUGCUUUGCAAGCAGGAUGUCAGCGGCUCGAGUCCGCUAAUCUCCACCUUGUGUAAAAAUCGCAGAAAGCAAAUAUAGUUAUUGGUUGUCAAUCAAGACAAUAAAUAGUUAUAACAUUUAUGUGGUGAAUAGCACAGUAUGAUAAGAUAGUAGAUCGGGAAAGAUUCAGCAAUUGAUUGUUGUGACAAUCGAACUGCUGGGUAGUUAUCCAGCCAGAACCUUGAAAACUGCAUAGUAACGCGAAAAAGAGCAGGCAGACACAGACAUGAAAAAUGAAAGUGUUUGCAUGGAGAAACCAAUGUAAUGUUGUGGUCAAGCU
rnacentral:tRNA from 1 species